rnacentral:rRNA from 1 species
AUUGAACGCUGGCGGCAGGCCUAACACAUGCAAGUCGAACGAGUGGCGGACGGGUGAGUAAUGUUUGGGAAUCUGCCUUAUGGAGGGGGAUAACUACUGGAAACGGUAGCUAAUACCGCGUACCAUAGGAUGAGCCCAAGUGGGAUUAGCUAGUUGGUGGGGUAAAGGCUCACCAAGGCGACGAUCCCUAGCUGGUCUGAGAGGAUGACCAGCCACACUGGGACUGAGACACGGACCAGACUCCUACGGGAGGCAGCAGUGGGGAAUAUUGCGCAAUGGGCGCAACCCUGAUGCAGCCAUGCCGCGUGAAUGAAGAAGGCCUUCGGGUUGUAAAGUUCUUUCGGUAGGGAGGCGUUACCCACAGAAGAAGCACCGGCUAACUCCGUGCCAGCAGCCGCGGUAAUUC